rnacentral:rRNA from 1 species
CCUACGUGUGGCUGCAGUGGGGAAUAUUGCACAAUGGGGGAAACCCUGAUGCAGCAACGCCGCGUGAGUGAAGAAGUAUUUCGGUAUGUAAAGCUCUAUCAGUAGGGAAGAAGAAAGACGGUAACUGACUUAGAAGCCCCGGCUAACUACGUGCCAGCAGCCGCUGUAAUACGUAGGGGGCAAGCGUUAUCCGGAUUUACUGGGUGUAAAGGGAGCGUAGACGGCUGUGCAAGUCAGAUGUGAAAGCCCGUGGCUCAACCCCGGGACUGCAUUGGAAACUGUACGGCUGGAGUACUGGAGAGGCAGGCGGAAUUCCUAGUGUAGCGGUGAAAUGCGUAGAUAUUAGGAGGAACACCAGUGGCGAAGGCGGCCUACUGGACAGAAACUGACGUUGAGGCUCGAAAGCGUGGGGAGCAAACAGGAUUAGAUACCCUUGUAGUC